rnacentral:rRNA from 1 species
GUCCUGGCCGUAAACGAUGGAUACUAGGUGUAGGGGGUAUCGACCCCCCUGUGCCGCAGCUAACGCAAUAAGUAUCCCGCCUGGGGAGUACGGCCGCAAGGUUGAAACUCAAAGGAAUUGACGGGGCCCGCACAAGCGGUGGAGCAUGUUGUUUAAUACGUCACUAACCGUAGAACCUUACCAGGGCUUGACAUCCGUCGACCGCCGGUGAAAGCCGGUUUUCCCCGCAAGGGGACGGCGAGACAGGUGUUGCAUGGCAGUCU